rnacentral:lncRNA from 1 species
UCCCUCCAUCGGCUGUCAGUUGUUACAUAAAGGGUCCUGCUUAAUGCAACUAAUGAGAACAAUUAGUCAUAAGUCACA